AUUGAACGCUGGCGGCAGGCCUAACACAUGCCAGUCGAACGGUAACAGGAAGCAGCUUGCUGCUUUGCUGACGAGUGGCGGACGGGUGAGUAAUGUCUGGGAAACUGCCUGAUGGAGGGGGAUAACUACUGGAAACGGUAGCUAAUACCGCAUAACGUCGCAAGACCAAAGAGGGGGACCUUCGGGCCUCUUGCCAUCGUAUGUGCCCAGAUGGGAUUAGCUAGUAGGUGGGGUAACGGCUCACCUAGGCGACGAUCCCUAGCUGGUCUGAGAGGAUGACCAGCCACACUGGAGGUGAGACACGGUCCAGACUCCUACGGGAGGCAGCAGUGGGGAAUAGUGCGCAAUGGGCGGAAGCCUGAUGCAGCCAUGCCGCGUGUAUGAAGAAGGCCUUCGGGUUGUAAAGUACUUUCAGCGGGGAGGAAGGGAGUAAUGUUAAUACCUUUGCUCAUUGACGUUACCCGCAGAAGAAGCACCGGCUAACUCCGUG
rnacentral:rRNA from 1 species